rnacentral:sRNA from 2 species
AUAUCUUUCUGUACGGGAAGGAUGAGAAGCUUCGACUAAGGUUCGAUUCGAGCGCAGCGAGAAAGCGUUGCCGCAGGCAACGACCCGAAGGGCGAAGCGCGCAG